CGCCCUUGAAUAUUGUCUAUUGGGGAGAGCCACAUGGAUCUCCCCGCCCAUUAGCCACGGCCCACGUCCAUCAAAGAGAAACAUCCACCUUCCAGCUCCUCUCAUUGGACAGUCUCGACAGUACCCCCUCAAUGAUUGGCUGCUCCGGCUGACUGUCACAUAUUGACGUCUCCUCCCUCGCUGGCUGCCCGAUCCUCCUCCCACUCCUCCCGUUGGCUGGGAGGUUGGCCCCGUAAAUGAGACGCCCGCCCCUACUUGCCCCGCCCUCUCCACGCUACGGAUUGGCCGGUGGGUUGCGCCCUCGCAAUCCAUUGGCGAAGGGAUGUGCUCGUCACACCCUAACAUGCAGAGGCCCGCCCAUCGAGCUGCGGCCCUCGGCGGUGGCGCUCGAAACGAGGUGGGAGAGAAGGCUGCACCAGCGUGCCUCCUUUCUCUGCCCAAUGGAGGAGACAGGCACACGCGGCAAUGAGGAGGACCGCGGCCAUCGCCGCCUCAUGAUGCCAGGCGGCAACAACGCCACACUCCUGCCAUCUGCAACGACGUUUGCUUCUUGCCCCGCCCUUCCCACACAGCGAUUGGGCGGGGAGGAUGUCAGUCGCUCUACUCGCCAGUCCAUUGGUGCGCGGCGACUCCUCCGCAGCCAACUGGCAGCCGCUCCCGGUGUCACCCACCGGAUUACGCGCAGGCGUGGGCGUGAGGGGCGUCCCCCACCCUAUGAUUGGUUGAGUCAACUGUCAGUCCCCGCACUGUCUCGCGGCGGCGGGGGGGAAGGCGGUGAUGGGCCGCGUGAGGCGGCGGGGGCGUCACGUGGCUCCCGCCGUUGCGCACGUGACGGGGCUGGCGGCCGUUGGUGUGGGGGGAGGGGUUGUGUGAGGUGGUCCCGGAGGGCGUGGUUCGGAGGCUUCGCACGGUGGGCUGGAGGGAAGCGGGGGCUGUGGGAUCAAGAAGAGCUGAGGAGGAGACGAGCAGAACAGAGGAAGGAGCGCUCUGAGGGCACCUGUUGGGUCAGCAACACUCAGAUGUGGGGCUCGGUGUUGGAUGACGUGGUCUCCGUAGGUCCCUUCCAGCUCUUCUUCUGUGAUCACAAAGGCAUUUGAGAGGGAGAGAAAAUGGGAGUGUGCACCCCAUUUCCUCUUUUGGUUCUCCAGUACAGCUGAGGACUGGUGUUAGCACAGUGGCUGUCACCUCCCGGCCUCAAACUGUGUGCCUGCGUGCCAGUGCCAUGUUUCCACUUGGUCUCCUCGGGAGAAUCCCAUUACAACACUGCAGCAGCUGAAAUUGGAGUUUUGGUGCCAAAAAGCAAACGAGAGAUGCAAUAAUACGAGGGAAAAGCCUCGGAAAAGCCAGUUUUUUUGUUUUUGUUUUUGUUUUUUUUUCCUUGGAGCAUGCAAAAGGAAACAACAUACGUAGUACAUUUUGUAUAAGUCUAGGAAACCAGAAACAUUCAUGUCAGUGGAGCAAAAGGUGCCACGCUGCAAUUGCCCCCGUAAUUUCACGUGGUAGAAAGCAAGCAUGUUUUGUUGGAUGGAUGGUCCAGCAGGUCCCGCGCAGGUUCACGCAUGGAUUUGGGGGAAUCUCAGCUCCUGGGCUAGUUCCCGGCUCUCAGAAAGUCCUAACGUGUCUUCUAUAACAGCAGAGAACAAGUACAAAUGAGCAACGUAAAGAAAAAAACAGAGGAAAUGAAUACUAGCAUUAAAUGAAAGCAGGACAAAAAGAGAGAAAUACGUCAAAUGUAAUUUUUGAACUUGUACAUUGGCCAGAGGAAGAUGUCUGCUUUGUGCUUCCAGUUCUGAAAAUGAAGCAGUGUGCACAUAAAAGUUAUUGGCAGCUGUGUUGAGGCCAGAGGUCAUGCAGCUCUACAGGCAAGAUUUUAUUUACCUUUUCACCUCCCCAUUUCACCAACUUGGUCAGAGAUGAUACUCAACAGCAGCAGGAACUUAUACACAACAGUUUGAGUCACCUUUAGCUGAACCUAAACAAAACUAAAGUAUAGGUAUGCGAAAGCAAUUACAGCAUUUUAUUGUCACAGCUCCACCUUCAUCAUCAGGACAGUGUUAGAAUUUUACAUUGAGACAUAGGGUAACUGCUAAAGGCACUCUCUCCUUCCACUUUCCAAAGUUUAAGUGUACACUGGAGUUUCCAUUGCUUCGAGGGCAGCCACACUUUCACAUGCAGCACUCAUUUCUGUACUUUUUUAUGUCA